AGAUUUCUUGGAUUCCAGAUUCAACUCCUUCUUUGACCCUGGACCUGUGCUGACUGGAAGCCUCGAGAUGAGAUGAGAAAAUCGAGGCUCAGAAAAGUCCCAUGACUUGUCCAAGGCCAUGAAGCUAGUUCACAGAGAGGCACAGAAUCAGCUAUGGAAGCACUUGAGAGAAUACCAAUACCAUUUUGUGGCCUGGAGAGAUCGGCACCCUCACUAUUUUUGUCCCUGCUAGCCAUCAGCCUCUGGCUUCCCUGUUAUCCUGUUGCCCCCACAGAAUGCAGCUACUACGUGGCUUAAGAGCCAGCACCUCCAUGAAGUGGUGAAGGUAAGGCCAUUCUCCCCUUCUUUUCCAGUUUCUGGAAAUUGCUUACAUAUUCUAGAACUGACCUACCUGUGUUUGGAGAAGCCUGAACCCAGGAACUGGAAUGACACAAUGCUCAUGAUGGGGUUGUUAUGACUUGUUUUUGGCACCUGUCCAAAAGAUUUCACAUAUCAUCCAUCAAGUGAAGUUCUGAGAAGCUUUUGAAUAAAAUAUGUACAUAUAGGUACACACACAUGUAUAUAUCAAAAUGCAGGUGACUACAUUACUUCAGCUUUGGAAAAGCUAAAUAUAUGAAAUAACAAAAGGGAAGAGUUACAUGCUUACAUAAUUAAAAAAUAUGAAAUUCUAUAAAAGCAUGAAUGACAUUAAAAUAUAACCAGUCAUCUGGGCACUCAGACAAUAAUAUAACAAGAUACAUCCUGUCUUCACAUGAUUUGCAUAUUUGCAAAAUCAUCCAUUUGCUGCAAUUUAGUGAUAAAUCCAAGAUCAGUUAUGGUACUUGUGUGGUCAUAUUUGGAUAAAUGCAGCAGUUUAAUAGCACAGUACAGUGCUCUAGCAAAAGCCCAACUAUGGCUUUUGUUUCCAGUCUUAGGCUGUAAAUAAAGCUCCCUGCUUGGUGUGUUUAGUGCCACAAUCAUCACAUUUUUGAUGCUAUCACUGUUCAAAAUACUCCCCAAGCAAUAGUGCUGUCCAGUGCUUCUAAACUUAAGGCUUGGAGAUAUACCUUACAGAUACACUGUGAGUAUCACAUGUGCUUCAGCCACAUGUCACAGCACCUGCUGCCUGUGAUUUUGUUGUUAAUAACUCAGAUCUGUAUGCUGUGGGUCAGCAUUCACUAGUACAAAGUUAUCAAACUUACCAAUUGUGAAUAGCAAGAAGCACGAUUACUAUCAAGCAUGCUGAUUGCAUAAGCUACAUGUCAAUUUAUGAGGUAAACAAUAUAAUUUUUAUGAAAAAGCAAGCUAUAGAAAUACACAGGUUAAAUGACUAGACAGGGAGAAACAAAUCAUGCAUGUUAGGAUUAUUGAAAAACUCUUCCAUUUUACUAAUGAUAAAAGAAUUCAAGUUGGAGUAACAAUGACAGGUCAGUGCUGUUGCCUAUCAUAUUAGAAAAGAUUGAUGAACUGUGCUGGCCCCAGUGCAAUGAUCUUAUCAUUCUUGUAUACUACCAGUGGAUUAAAUCUGCACGACAUCAUAGGAAGUGGCUCAGUAAUCUCUACAAAAACUUGUAUAAAUUUUAGUAUCUCAUGACUGAGAAAUUGAACUUCAAAGUAUAUCUUCUGAGAAAUAAAUGUUCAGCUAAAGAUUUAUACACAUUUAGUAUGAUGUUAUCUGUAAAUGCAAAAAUAGAAAAAAAUAGAGGAGCCUUCGAAGAGGGGAAACAGAUACACUAUGGAUUGAAACAAGAUGAAAGACUUACAAAAUCAUUAAAUUAUUUUCAAAGAACAGUUGAUGACAUGAAAAACAUUUUAACUUCAUUGAAAUAAAGCAGAUGUCAUAUAAGCUAAAAUUAAGUUACACUUACAUCAUAUACACUGAACUAGGUCAAGUUGGAAAUAAAUCAGUUUCAGGGUGAAGCACACUUUAAGUUUAAUUUAGUACAUAUGAGUUGAGGGAACGUCCUAACUUGUUACUCAGUAGCCACCUACCUCAUUUAGUUGGACACGCCUUAGGAGGCAGGAUAAUGAGUUGGAAUGGAUAAUGGAGUCAGACCAGGAAGAACAGACUCACCUUUAGCAAUGCACAGAAAGGAACAAUUUCAUUCAGACUUCUGUGAAAACAGAUGAACUGGCCCAGUUUUUGGAAGACUUCAAGAAGAAGAUGACUUUGGAGAUGAGUCAUAAAGGAUAAGUAGAAUUUUAAGGUUGAAAUGCAGGGUAAGUAUUGGCCUUUUUGGCCUCUAAGUGACAACGAUGCCUCGCUAGACUCUAAAGUUAAUGACUUUAAGAGGCAUUGAAAGUGUUGUAUGUUGUUUGUGAUGUAUAUACCUGGCAUUUUCUAAUAUCCUCCUUAGGGUUCAGGUAAGUUGUCAUGUUCUAAUGUUCUGAUCUUGAUUUCAAUAGAGAAAAGACAUAAAUAUUUUGUGAAUUGUAUCCAUUUGAUGAGCCACAUAAGGAUGUAAUGUGGAGGAUGGAAGAAGGGUGGUAAGAAGGAGACAUUAGAAGGAGGAUGAGAAAGAAACAAAUAUUGUUGAGUACUGAUGAGCUCUUAUGGUACUUGAGCCAUUUGAUUUUACCUAAGGUACUUGAGGCCAUUAGGUAGGCAUCCAUUCCGAAUUCCUAUGUUGCCUAUGAGAAUCAACAAGGACCCGAAGGAUAGAGAUAGAGUUGCAAGUGGAGAGUGGUAAGAAGUAGCUGCACUUGGAAAUGUUUUUCAGACUAGCUACAGUGGAGGUGCAGGGAUUAUUUAUUAGCCUAACUAUAACUCAAAGAUAGCUAAGGAGAAAAUGAGUUCAUAGAACUGCACCAAAGUUACAAGAAACAGGGGAUAUGGCUAUACCCUGCAAAGUGCAGACCAUGGUACCAAUAGGAGGGGUUUAGAAAUUUGAACUUGGGCUCCCUGGCAGGAUGGAAAAUGCUAUUAAGAGAGGUUGCAACUUAAGAAGAGGAGGAUAUUGAAUGAAACGGCAUUCCCUACUUUAACACUUCUGCACAUACCAGUUCCUUCUGCUUAGGGUGUCUUGGGGCAUAUUCUAAGUCAGUGACUAGAAUACAUCUAUGCCAGUAUUUGUAAAUGUAUCCAGCAUCUCUGGAAGGACACAGAAGAAACAGUGAUCACACCCAGAGAGGAGAACCUGGUAGGAGUGGGGAGAACACUUAUUCUGUUUUGUACCUCUUGAUCUUGCAUUAUACAUGUUGCCUCCUUCCAAGGGGAAAACUAUGAAAUGCAUGCACACCCACACCCACACACAAAUCUUCAUGUUUAAGCUAGAACAUUUCUGUCUGCUGAACUGCAAUCACAGAGUGUCCCUUUCUUGUCCAUGAAGCCACUCCCUGCUCAUUAAAACCAAAUUCUAUUCUUAUCGACCACUUGACAUGGGAUCCAGUUGGCAGAAUGAAGCAGAGCUACCAAAGAUAGUCUCUGAGUGGAAAGGGGACAUACAUUAUGUGGAGUGGGACCCUGAAUUCAGCAGCAACUUCUAAAAGACCAAGUAACUUCUUCACUGGUUUGAAGGUGGAAGAUAGAAACCUGGAAACAAAGAUUUGUUGAAAGAAGCUGAAGAAAAGGGCCAGGGCAAGGUCAUGUAGGUGCUUAGCUGUGUUGAGAUGGAGUUGCAAGUGAAUGUGUUGCCCUAGAGCUGUUCAGAACUGGUUCUGAAAGCCUGGAAAGCCCGCUGUCAACUACCAGACCCCAUAACAAACCUACCCAUGGUCAUUUACAUGGGCAGUUCACCUUUUGAGACCUCCUGGGUUUUAUGAGGCUUAUUUGACAAAAUUUGAAUGCCUAUUUCGAGAAAGGCCCAGCACAAACAGUGAUCUUGGGCAUUCACAAAGGAGAGAAGGUUUCUGUGAGAAUCAGUGGUUCUUGAAUGUGGGUUUUGUGAUUGAU